rnacentral:rRNA from 1 species
UACGUAGGGGGCUAGCGUUGUCCGGAUUUAUUGGGCGUAAAGAGCGUGUAGGCGGCCAGGUAGGUCUGGUGUGAAAACUCGAGGCUUAACCUCGAGAUGUCAUCGGAAACCAUCUGGCUAGAGUCCGGAAGAGGAGAGUGGAAUUCCUGGUGUAGCGGUGAAAAUGCGCAGAUAUCAGGAAGAACACCAAUGGCGAAAAGCAGCUCUCUGGGACGGUACUGACGCUGAGACGCGAAAAGCGUGGGGGAGCGAACAGG